ensembl:miRNA MIR363 microRNA 363
GUUUUGCUGUUGUCGGGUGGAUCACGAUGCAAUUUUGAUUAGCAUAAUAGGAGAAAAAUUGCACGGUAUCCAUCUGUAAACCGCAGGAC